UACGUAGGGGGCAAGCGUUGUCCGGAUUUACUGGGCGUAAAGAGCGUGUAGGCGGCCAAGCAGGUCCGUUGUGAAAACUGGAGGCUUAACCUCCAGACGUCGACGGAAACCGCGUGGCUAGAGUCCGGAAGAGGAGAGUGGAAUUCCUGGUGUAGCGGUGAAAUGCGCAGAUAUCAGGAAGAACACCAAUGGCGAAGGCAGCUCUCUGGGACGGUACUGA
rnacentral:rRNA from 1 species